rnacentral:tRNA from 2 species
GCCCCCGUAGCUCAGUGGACCAGAGCGACGGCCUUCUAAGCCGUGGGUCGCAGGUUCGAAUCCUGCCGGGGGUG